GGGUUGUGAGGUUAAGCGACUAAGCGUACACGGUGGAUGCCCUGGCAGUCAGAGGCGAUGAAGGACGUGCUAAUCUGCGAUAAGCGCCGGUAAGGUGAUAUGAACCGUUAUAACCGGCGAUUUCCGAAUGGGGAAACCCAGUGUGACUCGUCACACUAUCAUUAACUGAAUCCAUAGGUUAAUGAGGCGAACCGGGGGAACUGAAACAUCUAAGUACCCCGAGGAAAAGAAAUCAACCGAGAUUCCCCCAGUAGCGGCGAGCGAACGGGGAGGAGCCCAGAGCCUGAAUCAGCAUGUGUGUUAGUGGAAGCGUCUGGAAAGGCGCGCGAUACAGGGUGACAGCCCCGUACACAAAAGCGCAUGUGCUGUGAGCUCGAUGAGUAGGGCGGGACACGUGGUAUCCUGUCUGAAUAUGGGGGGACCAUCCUCCAAGGCUAAAUACUCCUGACUGACCGAUAGUGAACCAGUACCGUGAGGGAAAGGCGAAAAGAACCCCGGCGAGGGGAGUGAAAAAGAACCUGAAACCGUGUACGUACAAGCAGUGGGAGCACCCUUUGGGGUGUGACUGCGUACCUUUUGUAUAAUGGGUCAGCGACUUAUAUUCUGUAGCAAGGUUAACCGUAUAGGGGAGCCGGAGGGAAACCGAGUCUUAACCGGGCGUUAAGUUGCAGGGUAUAGACCCGAAACCCGGUGAUCUAGCCAUGGGCAGGUUGAAGGUUGGGUAACACUAACUGGAGGACCGAACCGACUAAUGUUGAAAAAUUAGCGGAUGACCUGUGGCUGGGGGUGAAAGGCCAAUCAAACCGGGAGAUAGCUGGUUCUCCCCGAAAGCUAUUUAGGUAGCGCCUCGUGAAUUCAUCUCCGGGGGUAGAGCACUGUUUCGGCUAGGGGGCCAUCCCGGCUUACCAACCCGAUGCAAACUGCGAAUACCGGAGAAUGUUAUCACGGGAGACACACGGCGGGUGCUAACGUCCGUCGUGAAGAGGGAAACAACCCAGACCGCCAGCUAAGGUCCCAAAGUCAUGGUUAAGUGGGAAACGAUGUGGGAAGGCCCAGACAGCCAGGAUGUUGGCUUAGAAGCAGCCAUCAUUUAAAGAAAGCGUAAUAGCUCACUGGUCGAGUCGGCCUGCGCGGAAGAUGUAACGGGGCUAAACCAUGCACCGAAGCUGCGGCAGCGACGCUGAUGCGUUGUUGGGUAGGGGAGCGUUCUGUAAGCCUGCGAAGGUGGCCUGUGAGGGUUGCUGGAGGUAUCAGAAGUGCGAAUGCUGACAUAAGUAACGAUAAAGCGGGUGAAAAGCCCGCUCGCCGGAAGACCAAGGGUUCCUGUCCAACGUUAAUCGGGGCAGGGUGAGUCGACCCCUAAGGCGAGGCCGAAAGGCGUAGUCGAUGGGAAACGGGUUAAUAUUCCCGUACUUGGUGUUACUGCGAAGGGGGGACGGAGAAGGCUAUGUUGGCCGGGCGACGGUU
rnacentral:rRNA from 1 species